UUUAGUAUGGAGAGGAUGUGAAGUUUUCCUUGGUGAUAAUAAUGCCAGCAGCUGUCAUUUUCCAAGCACCUAUUCGGUGUCAGAUCAUGGCAUGCGUUGUCUCAUUUUGUCUUCAUGACAGCCCCGAGGUCUGAACCCCCAGGACCGCAGCAUGUGGCCUUAUUUGCACAUCCGGUGUGGUUGGAGUCCUCCUGAGAAGGGGCGGCCAGGACACAGAUGCACACAGAGAAGAUGAUGUGAAGACAGAGAAGACGAGCAUCCAGGCCAGGAGACAGGCCUGGGACCCAUGCUUCUCCCACGGCCUUCGGAUGGAGCCUGCCUUGCUGACACCUCAGUUUUGCACUCCAUCUUGCCACAGGCUUGGACUGGCCCACGCUCAUGGGCAUCCUGUGUGGUUACCCAUGCACUCCACCCCCACCCUCCGACCCCGUCCAUGGCUCUUCCCAUGCUCUGGAGCCCCUCCCCAGCUAGGCCCUACUCCUUUCCAGGAUGAUGCUCUCAGGACCAUGCUUCGCCCAUCCCUGUGACCCCUUACGUCCCUUGUGGGGUUUUGCUCUUUCAUUCAUGUGACAAGCAGAAGUGACACUGCAGCUGGGUUCUUGGUCCCUCCAUUUCUGUGUCUUAUGGCUGAGAAAUCCCCAGGGUGGGACAACCCAGUAAUUCCAAAUCAAAGCUCUGCUGGCAAGCAUUACUCAUGUUGUCUCUGACCGCACACUUUGGGACCCACUGGACCCGCUCUUGGUCUGUUCCCAUCUAGGCUCCUCGUGGCACAGUUGUCCUCUGCAUGAAGGCUGAAGCCAAGGCUGAGGCAGGAUGGGGCAAACUCAGAGUGCUGUGGGGUGGGGCCUGGUAGGCCUACUAGUGGGGCUUGAGAGGCCAUAGCAGUGGGCAGCAGUCAUCAGAUGGCACAGGCUGCUGGAAGGACAGGGUCAGGGAAGGAAAGCAUAGUGUAGGUCAAGAGCAAGGAAAGCAAAGUCUGGAGGUGCUGAAAUGUUCACAGAGUCCCAGAGGGGUAGGCGGUGAGCUGUGGUAGAAGAGGGGGGCAGGCUGAAGGCUCGGGAGGGAGAGGCCUGAUGCCAGCCUGGCGGUGGCCCUGCUUCCUCAGCUUUCCUGGGAUUCACACGUAAUGUUCGUACACUGGCUUCCUGUACUUUUGGGGAGGAAUCUUGGGAUGAAGCAAGAGUGGGCGGGGAGAAGUGGAUGGCUGCCAUGCAGGCCAGCUGCACGGGGAGCGCUGGGCCAGAGUGGCCUUCAGAGACGUCCCUGGCUAGGUGAGGGGAAGAGAUGGCCUUGCCUCCACCAGCCGCAGGAGGGCCGGACCUCAGGCCAGGCUGCUGUCUGCAGCUGUGUCCACCUUGCAGUGGCUGAUAGCACCCAGCAGCCUAGAGACCAUUUGGGGUGUCCUGCCUCUGCCCCUGAUCCUGCCUUCCCCUUCUCUGCUGUGCCCUCCACUUUCCAGCCCCCAGUACACAGGGGUCCCCAGGGAUACUUGUCUGGCAUCUUACUCUUCCCCUUGGGCCCUGCCUCUCUCCAGAGGUGCCCCAGGCAGAGGCCUCUGGUGCCUGCUUAGCUGUGUGGGACCAGUAAUCUGCUGAUGGCAGUGCUUGGUGCUGUGACAGCUUCUGUGGGCUCUGCUGGUCUUGCCCUGCUUACCCAGGAGCACAGUCCCUUCUGCUGGGCACCACCAUGAGUAAGACAUACUCCUUGCUCUGGUCAUUGCUCAGCGUGUCCUCCCAGCCCUUGGUGCCACCGCCGUCAAGACCCGUGUCUUCUGCCUAUCAUACCUGUGGUGACUGCAUUCUUUCCCUUGUCCCUUCCUCAGGGUGUCCACUGCCCUAGGUCGCUGGGGUCAGGGCUGCUUCUCUCCCUCCACCUGAGAUAAGUGACCAGUGGAGGGUGCUUGAACCAGGAACCUAUCCAUGGCCGACCAGAGACGUAGGCCCCAGGGAAAGCUACCAAGGGCUUGGGCUGGGCCAGUCAGGUUCCGGAGUGGACACUGAACUGAAGAAGCCAACAUAGCCUGUGCAGAGAAAGGGACCGAGAGUGGGCUGUUGUGGUUCUGGUAGGUGGCUUGGCAGGAGAGGAGAUGCACAGAGAGGGAGAGACACCCAGGGGCCAGGGAGUGCCCACCUCAGGGAGCCCCCCUCCCAGGGACUGUAUGUGCUUUCCAGAAGGGCAUUCCAGACCUUUCCCCAAGGCAGCCUUGGUUUUCUCUCAAAUCGGUAACCAGCUCUUUGUCAGGUACGGCUUUUGCACAGUCCCUGCAUGGCUGGCCUGGGCCAGCCCUCUGUGGAGGGAGUGAGGAGAGUAGGGGAGAGGGGGGCCGAGGGAGAGCUCAGGCUGGGGAGACACUGCCUCUGAACACCCAGCCCUCUUCAGUCUGGAGGUGGAAGCAGGCCUGGAGCAGUUGGGAGGUCCUGCAGAGGAGGGAUUCCUGAGCCUCCUCUUGGGACAGGGCCAGUGGGAUGCUGGGUGACAGUCUUUAACAAAGGCAGGGCUUCGAGCAAGGAGGCCAGGUGGGAAUGUGCCUUGGGCAUGCUUGGACAAGCAGACCACGAUUCUCACCCAGAAAGAGGCCCUGCAGCCUUUUCUAUGUGGCCUGAAAUUGGCAACUACCUCACGUCCACAUUAGGGGAAUGGCCAUCUAAAUUAUGGAGCGAUUAGAAUGAAUGCCAUGCAGCCAUUACAUGGUUUACUCAACACAUGAAUUAACACUAUAAAGUGCUUGCAAUGUGACCCUGAGUAUGAAAACCAGGCUACAAAAUCAUACCCCAUCCUGGCAAUUUUGCUUUGUGAACAAACAGAAGCUAAGCACAGAGAAAAGCCUGGAAGGAAAUAUAUGAAUAUGUCAACGGUGAGUUUAUGGGUUUUAAAUUUUUUGGUGUUUUACAUAUUUUCUAUUAAGACAAAAGUUAUUUAAAAAAAGAGAAUGUGAAAUGCCGUUACUGUGUUGGUAUAAGGUGGAUAUAAAUGAAUUCAUGCUUCCCGUCCUACGAAUGUCCUGAUCACAUCAAAGCAGAGCCUGUGCUGGACUCAGAGGCCAAAGGGGAUGAUGGUGGGGCCUGGCCCUUGGGAACCCACUGUGUGCUGGGGGCAGCUGGCCAAAGACAAGGCCUUCCAGCUGUGGUGAGGGGAGCAGAGGUGGCAUGGGGGGUGCAGAGAAAGCUUCUUGGGGAAGAGGUGCCAGCAGGACCUGACCCAGGGGCAAACCAAAGAUUUCAUCAGCUUGCUGGGAUUGAGGCCAGCGUGGGCCCUCCCACGCAUGCCAUUGUCCCGCUUCCCUGAAGGAGGUGCAUGGAGUUGCUGGCUGCUGUGCACUCACUUUUCUCCUGAGGCAGGCCAGCUGGGUCUAGUCCUCGCUGGGCAACUCUUGGAGGCCUCUGUUGCCUCAUCUGUAUAAUCGGAGUGGUAACAUACCUGCUGCCACAGGCCUGAGCCUGGUGCCAUUGUGCAGAGGCCUGUGGAGAUGCCAUGUCACGCCAGGCUGGUGGGCAGCAGCUCAGUGCAGGCUCCAACCGCGUCUCUUCCCAAGGCCUGGUCCUGAAAGGUCCUGGAAAACAUAGGAUGAUGCUCCCGUCAGGGCCACAGGGUCAGGGAUGUCCUGGGAGGAACAUCAAAGCCGAGGCCUGCUGGGUGAGCCCGUGGCAAGCUGGACCCUUGGCAUUCAGGAGGGCAUGUGGACAGACACAAGCUUUGGAACCAGGCAGACCAGUGAUCAAGUCAUACACACUAGUGAAUGACCUUUAGAAAUCCA